rnacentral:lncRNA from 1 species
AGGCAUUCAGGCAGCGAGAGCAGAGCAGCGUAGAGCAGCACAGCUGAGCUCGUGAGGCAGGAGACUCAGCCCGAGGAAAUCGCAGAUAAGUUUUUAAUUAAAAAGAUUGAGCAGUAAAAAGAAUUAGAACUCUAAACUUAAGCUAAUAGAGUAGCUUAUCGAAAUAUUACUUAGUCUUAAUAAUCUAAGAAGAUCUUAAGAGAUAACAUGAAGGCUUAUUUAAACAGUUUGAAAAAGGAAAUGAGGAGAAAAGUAUUUGUACUGUAUAAUGGAGGCUGACCAGAGCAGUUUAGGAGAUUGUAAAGGGAGGUUUUGUGAAGUUCUAAAAGGUUCUAGUUUGAAGGUCGGCCUUGUAGAUUAAAACGAAGGUUACCUAAAUAGAAUCUAAGUGGCAUUUAAAACAGUAAAGUUGUAGAGAAUAGUUUGAAAAUGAGGUGUAGUUUUAAAAGAUUGAGAAAAGUAGGUUAAGUUGACGGCCGUUAUAAAAAUCCUUCGACUGGCGCAUGUACGUUUGAAGGCAUGAGUUGGAAACAGGGAAGAUGGAAGUGUUAGGCUAGCCGGGCGAUGGUGGCGCACGCCUUUAAUCCUAGCACUUGGGAGGCAGAGGCAGGCGGAUUUCUGAGUUCGAGGCCAGCCUGGUCUACAGAGUGAGUUCCAGGACAGCCAGGGCUACACAGAGAAACCCUGUCUUGAAAAAACAAAAAGGUUAGGCUAGUAUUUGGAGAAAGAAGAUUAGAAAAUGGAAGUGAAAGACGAAGAAGACAUACAGGAAGGUGAAGAAAAAGCUGUUAGAGAAGAUAGGAAAAUAGAAGACAAAGCAUCUUUAGAAGACAGAAAAGGUACUUAAAGGCACAGGUAGUAGGAAGCCGAAGAAUAGAAGAUAGAAAGAAGCAAGAUAGAAAAACAAAAUGGAAGUUAAGACAACUUUGGAUGCCAGCAUUCAAGAUAGGCAAAGAAGAUAAGAUUGAGGCCAAAAGGUUGGAUAAGAUAUAAAGUCAGAAGGAAAUUAUCUUUAAAGCCAUAAGUUCAAAUUUCUGAUGGAGCGAGCAGUUUAGAAGAGUCUUUAGACAGCCACAUACAAGAUUGAAGCUAGCAAUCAAAGCUACUAGGACUGAAGUAAAAAGUUAAGGCAGAAUGCCUUUGAAGAGUUAGAAGAAUAUUAAAAGCCUUAACUUGUAGCUUAAUUUUGCUUGAUGACAAAAGGACUUUUGAUAACAGUUUCAAGAUUGUCAGCAUUUUGCAUUGGACUUGAGCUGAGGUGACUUAAUGUAUCUUAAUAACUACUAUAGGAACAAAGGAAGUGGCUUUAAUGACCCUGAAGGAAUUUCUUCUGGUGAUAGCUUUUAUAUUAUCAAGUAAGAGAUACUAUCUCAGUUUUGUAUAAGCAAGUCUUUUUCCUAGUGUAGGAGAAAUGAUUUUCCUUGUGACUAAACAAGAUGUAAAGACCUUUUUCAGAUAACACCAUCUGAGUCAUAACCAGCCUGGCAGUGUGAUGACGUAGAUGCAGAGGGAGCAGCUCCUUGGUUUCUCUUCAUAAGCAGAAGAGUUGCUUCAUUCCAUCUCGGAGCAGGAAACAGCAGACUGCUGUUGACAGAUAAGUGUAACUUGGAUCUGCAGUAUUGCAUGUUAGGGAUAGAUAAGUGCCUUUUUUCUCUUUUUCCAAAAAGACCUGUAGAGCUGUUGAAUGUUUGCAGCUGGCCCCUCUUAGGCAGUUCAGAAUUUUGAGUAGUUUUCCCAUCCAGCCUCUUAAAAAUUCCUAAGCCUUGCACCGAUGGGCUUUCAUGAUGGGAUAGCUAAUAGGCUUUUGCAUCGUAAACUUCAACACAAAAGCCUACAUGAUUAAUGCCUACUUUAAUUACAUUGCUUACAAGAUUAAGGAAUCUUUAUCUUGAAGACCCCAUGAAAGGGAUCAUUAUGUGCUGAAAAUUAGAUGUUCAUAUUGCUAAAAUUUAAAUGUGCUCCAAUGUACUUGUGCUUAAAAUCAUUAAAUUAUACAAA